rnacentral:rRNA from 1 species
UACGAAGGUGGCAAGCGUUGUUCGGAUUUACUGGGCGUACAGGGAGCGUAGGCGGUUGGAUAAGCCCUCCGUGAAAUCUCCAAGCUUAACCUGGAAAGUGCAGAGGGGACUGUUCAGCUAGAGGAUGGGAGAGGAGCGCGGAAUUCCCGGUGUAGCGGUGAAAUGCGUAGAGAUCGGGAGGAAGGCCGGUGGCGAAGGCGGCGCUCUGGAACAUUUCUGACGCUGAGGCUCGAAAGCGUGGGGAGCAAACAGG